GACGAACGCUGGCGGCGUGCUUAACACAUGCAAGUCGAACGAUGAAGCCCAGCUUGCUGGGUGGAUUAGUGGCGAACGGGUGAGUAACACGUGGGCAACCUGCCCCAAACUCUGGGAUAACUCCUCGAAAGAGGUGCUAAUACCGGAUACGAACUAGACAGACAUCCGUACUAGUUGGAAAGUUUUUCGGUUUGGGAUGGGCCCGCGGCCUAUCAGCUUGUUGGUGAGGUAACGGCUCACCAAGGCUACGACGGGUAACCGGCCUGAGAGGGCGACCGGUCACACUGGGACUGAGACGCGGCCCAGACUCCUACGGGAGGCAGCAGUGGGGAAUAUUGCGCAAUGGGCGAAAGCCUGACGCAGCGACGCCGCGUGAGGGAUGAAGGUCUUCGGAUCGUAAACCUCUUUCAGUAGGGACGAAGCGAAAGUGACGGUACCUAAAGAAGAAGCACCGGCUAACUACGUGCCAGCCGCCGCCGUAAUAC
rnacentral:rRNA from 1 species